CGGCUACCCCUCCGAUACUAAAGAUCUGUGUGUGUGUGUGUGUGUGUGUGGAGGGGGUGUUGCUCCAUCCUGCUUGCGCCGGAGCCAAGGACAAAGUCCUUGGGAGCUGAAAGUUAAUAGUAGCUGGGAGCUGUGUACGUGAGGCAGAUAAGCUGGCGUCCCAGCCUUGGGGAGACUGGACUAGGGUAUGGGGGGAGGACGGAGCUGGCAUCCACGGGCAAGGAGCCCAGCUGAGCGUCACAGAGGAACCAGAGCUGUUGGGGGAAUGGGACGCAUCAUCUGACUUUGCACCUCUUCAGCUGCCUCCCGCCUGACUCCUCUCAAUUUCUCUAUCACCGACCGCAUAAAGGCUACGGGACAGAUCCCCCAUGGGAGUAAAUUGCCCCGGAUCCACUGACCUUGGACUCAUAGACUUUAAGGGGGAGGGGAUCGAACAGCUGAUCUGGCCCCAGAACCUGGGAGCAAAUUGAUCACCAGAGCCGAACUCAGCAGAGGACGCACGGCCCCCGCCCGAGACGCCGCAGCCCCCAGGGAGAGCGCCCCAUGGAAGACGUGGUUGAAUGCAGUGAAGGCCUGAGCCAGACCGAUGUGCUGAGGAAGAAGAACCAGCUGGAGGAGAAGGGGCUGGUGACGGAGGGGCUGGCUGCCUGCUUCAGCCGGGCCAUGGAGCUGCUGAAGAGCCGUCAGCAUGUCGGGAUGUGGCGGGGCGGCAGGCUCAUCUUGCAGAGCGAUGGGUGCUGGGUGGAGUUCAGGAUGGGAAACACCCACCCGAUCCUGCUGGUGUGGUACGACCCCCACAAGAAGGAGGUUCAGGUCUCCCCACCCUAAGAGGGGAGGGGAUCAGUCCACCCAUCAACUCCUCGCCUCUCUGUGCUGAAUAAAGGCCCUCAGGGGGCUUGAAUCUGG